CAUAUGGACUAUCACUCAGAGAGAGAACAGUGCUUGCGAUGGCGCCUGCACUGCUUCUCUCCCCACGUGGAUUUGAUGGCCAGUGCUGGGCCAGGCAGAAGCCAGGAGGCAGGAGCUCCAUUCGGGACUCCGAGCGGCAGGGAGGCAGGAUCCAGAGAACCUGGGCAAUCAGCAGCUGCCUCUCUGGGUCAAAGUCUGGAGCAGCGGGACUGAAGUGGCCCUGGGGCUUCUGUCCCUUGAUGCUGAAGUGCACAGAUGCGUUCUGUAGUGCCAUGGCAACGGCCACUGGGGCCUGCGCGUGCAUCCUGCACUUUGACCCGGAAGUGCACCCUCUGGCAUGGCCGCCUCUGAGCUUGGCGCAUAGGUAGGAGUCAGCGCCUGCGUCUGCUGCUGCCCGAGAGACUGCACAAGCUAUGAGGUGAGGAGCCAUCCUCGACGCUGGUGGCCAAGCCUGAGGGAGACCCAGCAGCCCCAGGGUCAGGCCGGGAUCUGGAAAGGCUGCGUGUCCGAGGCUGCCGAGCCAUUUCCCAGGAGCGUUUCUCUUCUUCGGCCCCUUCCGGAAGCAACGGCUUUGGCAGGCCUCUAUCCCGCCUGCAGACUGGGCCCCCUUGGAGACUACACACACGGAGGAGAAAGCAGAAGCUUAGAGAAACACCAAGAAUCCCUCUGUGUUCUGUUCCAGCCUGUCCAAGGUUCUGACACCUCAUAUUUCUUGGUGUCCAGCGUUGUGGCGUUCUUCCUCGGAUGCUGUGUAGAGCCCCAGCGCUGGACUUGGAACAAGGAGGUGAGCUCCAUGAUGAGCAACACCUGCAGGAAGGCUGGGCCGCUGGUGUCUGAGGAGUGGUAGUGGAUUCACCGGGCCUCUGAAUCAGGUUCAUCCAUCCUCGCCUGAAUGUGGUGAAUUAAGUCUCUGUUCCUACUGGUCAGCAGUAACUAGUGUUGACCUUGAAGAGUCAUUCGUCUGGCUUCAUUUCCCCUGGGAUUGCUAUUGUGGUGACUCCUCCUCAUCCUCCAGGUCUCAGCUCAAGGGCUGGCUCUGAGGAGGCCACCUGUGACCCCACUCCAGGCACAUUGCUGUGGCUGCUGGAGAGGAUGUGUCCACUGGCCUGAGCUCGGCAUGAGGUCCCCCGUAGCACUUGACCCCAGGCCACAUGGCAGCUGCAGAGACUCCCACUCCUGGAGUACACAGUGUGGGUGAACAUGAGCGACCACAUUUCCCGGUGGUUGAGAGUUUGGUAGCUGGGGGAGAUGUUCGUGGAAGGAUGAGUUUCAAAGCCUCAUGUUCCUCUUCUGUUAAAAUGGAAUCCUCUCUGAAGAUUAUCUAUUUUAUCAUCUUAAAAAGAAAACGUUUCUUAGCUGGAGCACAUCGGAGAUCAACACAGUCUUAGCCCGGAGCCAAGACUGCUGUCACCCAUGUUUUUGACGCUGCCUGGCCGCUUCUGGUGCUGCUGUGCUUACUGGGAGGAAGAGGCAGGUCCUAGAUGGCUGGCGCUUGCGCAGUCGGCCUGGUGGAGAGCAAGACGGUAUUAUCUGCUGGUGGCGGCAUGUCAGUCGGCAGCCGGAAUUCUCCGCUGAUGGCGGCGUUUUCGGCAGCGGUACUGGCCCAGAGAGUGCGGGAGUGAAGACAUUUUCAUCGAUAUGAAAUUGGACACUGAGUUGACAAGGAAGUUCAGCUGCUGGGUAAUCUUCCAUUUCUGGAACCUCCUUGGCUUCCUGGUAAAACCCAGCUGUGCCUUCACCCUGGACAGGAGCAACUGACGUUUUCAUGGAUAUGAAAUUGGACACUGAGUUGACAAGGAAGUUCAGCUGCUGGGUAAUCUUCCAUUUCUGGAACCUCCUUGGCUUCCUGGUAAAACCCAGCUGUGCCUUCACCCUGGACAGGAGCAACUGGGCACUGAUGUGAAACUAACCCAGAGUGGACGGUGAAGCGCAACUGCCGGGUGUUCUUCCAGUUCUGGAGACUGCACAGCUUCCUGCUCAAUGCCAGCUGGACCUUCUUCCUAGAGAGAAGCAACUGGCAGCUCUGUGUGAAAGCUUCUGCUUUCAUGGAGUUUUUGUUCCGAUUGCUGUUUGGGGGCUGGGGAUGACUUAGUCCUGCAGGACUUUACCAGGUAGGAGUUCUUGAAAUAUCUUCCCCUUAUGUUGGAAUGUAUACUUUGUAGUACUUCCUAUUCCUCAUUUGAUUUUUCCAUCUCUGAUAUUUCCUUUGCUUUUAUGAUCCAUUGAACCAUGUGUUUUUGUUUCACACUGUCACUUUUAUUAGGAAUGCAAAUUCUUCCUUAGGUUUUACUUUAUAGGAUGUGUCAUUCUUUACAAUGCAGUGUUAUUUUUGAGUCACACUUAUUCUGAAUUAUAUAGCCUUUAUACUCUUACUUUUUAGGUUAUUUCUACAGAAGAUUUGCAAGCUUACAUUUUUAUGAAAGUCAGGAUUUUCCAUGUACAGAAUUUUAUGAAUGUGCAAAUUUUAUAUAUUUAAUUUUCCUGAAAUGUGAGUGCUUACCCAUUUUAUAUAAAUUUCUAUUAAAGAUUGAUGUUGUCUCCAGUGGAUGUAUUUGUUUUUUUAUUUUUUUAUUUUUGACAGGCAGAGUGGACAGUGAGAGAGAGAGACAGAGAGAAAGGUCUUUCUUUUGCUGUUGGUUCACCCUCCAAUGGCCGCUGCAGCUGGCGUGCUGCAGCCGGCGCAUCACGCUGCUCUGAAGGCAGGAGCCAGGUGCUUCUCCUGGUCUCCCAUGGGGUGCAGGGUCCAAGGACUUGGGCCAUCCUCCACUCACUCCUGGGCCAUAGCAGAGAACUGGCCUGGAACAGGGGCAACUGGGACAGAAUCUGGCGACCCAACCUGGUACAAGAACCCGGUGUGCCGGCACCUCAAGGUGGAGGAUUAGCCGAUUGAAUCACGGCGCCGGCUUGUAUUUGUUUUUUAGGCUAAAAUAAUUCUUGGGUAUAUUUUAUAGAACAAUUCUAAGAAUAAACGACAUUCCUUUUUUUUUUUUUUGACAGAGUGGACAGUGAGAGAGAGAGAGAGAAAGAUCUUCCUUUGCCUGGUUCACCCUCCAAUGGCCGCCGCAGCCAGUGCACUGCGGCUGGCGCAUUGCGCUGAUCCGAAGGUAGGAGCCAGGUGCUUCUCCUGGUCUCCCAUGGGUUGCAAGGUCCAAGCACUUGGGCCAUCCUCCACUGCCCUCCUGGGCCAUAGCAGAGAGCUGGCCUGGAAGAGGGGCAACUGGGACAGAAUCUAGCACCCCGACCAGGACUAGAACCCAGUGUGCGGGUGCCCCUAGGCAGAGGAUUAGCCUGUUGAACCACGACGCCGGCUGACAUUCCCUUUUCUGCUCUCCUUUCAACACUGUCUUUCCCAGUGUACCUCUUCCUUUCUUUCUCCCUUUGUUCCUCCCUUCCUUACUUCCUUUCUUUCAUCCAUUUUUGGAUGGUUUUUAUAUUUGCAUUUUAGUAAAAGGCUAAGUGCUUUACCAAAUAAGAAGUUCAGUAACCAAAAAGUAGGGGUGAGGCAAUAUUUGGCAUCCCAUACAGGUGCUGGUUCAAAUCUCAUUUACUCCACUUCUUUUUUUUUCAAGAUCUAUUUAUUUAUUUCAAAGACAGUGUUAUAGAGAGGCAGAGGUAGAGAGAGCGAGUAAGAGGUCUUCCAUCCACUGGGUCACUCCCUGGAAGGCCACAGCUAGCGGAGGUGCACUGAUCCAAAGUCAGGGGCCAGGAGCUUGCUCAGGGUCUUCCUACACAGUUGUAGGGGCCCAAGGACUUGGGCCAUCUUCUACUGUUUUCCCAGGCUAUAGCAGAGAGAUGGAUCAGAAGUUGAAAAGCUUGGACUUGAACUGGCACCCAUAUGGGAUGCCGGCACUGCAGGAGGUGGCCUUACUCAUUAUGCCACAGCACCGGUCUCUACUCCAUUUCUGAUCCAGCUCCAUGCUAAAGCACCAAAGCAUCAGAGGACAGCCCAAGUGCUUGUGACUUAGGAGCCAUGUGGGACACCUGGAAAAAGCUCCUGGCUCCUGUCAUCAUCUUGGUCCAGUCCUGGCUGUCUUGGCCAUUUGAGAAGUGAACCAGCAGAUGGAAGAUCUCUCCCUCUUUCUCUCUCUCUGUAUGUAACAGUGUCUUUGUAAUAAACAAAGUAAAUCUCAUAAAAUUAAGGGAAGAACAGAAACCCUAGUUUAUAGGGAAUAUAAGCAACAAGUAUAAUCAGUUGAAUGGAAAAAUGACCAUUUUUCCCAUACACCCUAAAUUUAAAGUAAUCACAGAUCAUUACAACUAUACUAAUGCUACAUUCUUUUUUCUUUUCAAAAUUUUUUUAAGAUUUACUUUUACUUACUUAAAAGACAGAAUUACUGAAAGAGGUGUAGAGGUAGAGAGAGUGGUCUUCCCUCUGCUGGUUCAUUCCCCAAAUGGCCACAAUGGCUAUAAAUGAGCCAAUCCAAAGUUAUGAACCAGGAGCUUCUUCCGGGUCUCCCACGUGGGUUCAGGGCCCCAGGACUUGGGCCAUCUUCUACUGCUUUCCCAGGCCAUAACAGAGAGCUAGAUCAGAAGAGGAGCAUUGGGGUCUAGAACCUGUGCCCAUGUGGGAUGCUCACCUUUCAAGCCUGGGAUUUAACACACUGCCACACAGCCCCUACCCCUUCAAUUGUUUUUAAAAUGAAUGAAAAGAGAACAUAUUUCAUGAAUUGUGUAGGUACAGUUCUAAGAAUAAACCCAGAAUUUCCUCUCUUCCCCUUUCCCCUCCUUCCUUUCCUCUUUUCAUCUAUUUUUCAUGAUAUGAUUAUAAUCCAUGUAAUAUUCAGGGUAACAAUAAUAUUCAUAGGAAAAAGGUACAAAGAAUAAAGUUCUACUGGAGCAGUAUGAUCUUUUAUUUUAGGACAUUAAAUUUAAAAAAAAAACAACAUUAGUUUUCUUGAGAGGCAUUGUUACAGAGAGAGGAAGACAUAGAGUUAGAGGUCUUCCAUCCAUAUGUGCUCAUUCUACAAAUGGCCACAAUGUCUGGAGGUGGGCCAGUCCAAAGGCAGCAACCAAGAGUUUUUUGCAUCUUUCCCACUAUGUUGCAGGGGCCCAAGCCUUUGGGCCAUCUUCCACUGUUUUCUCAGGUCAUCAGCAAGGAAGUGUAUUGGAAGUGGAGCAGCUGGACUUGAACUGGUGCCCAUAUGGGAUGCCGGCACUACAAUGGAUGCUUAACCUACUAUGCCAUAAUUCCAGCCCCAGUAUUCUGUUCUUAACCAUUGUUUUGUCCAGUUUUCAAACAAAGUUUUAUAGGAGUAUAUUUGCGGCAGUAGUGAUACACAUUCACAUUUAUAUUUCUUUUUUUGUGUUUUGAUUUUUUUCAAAAAGUUAACUUUCACAUGUAAGGUAAUACAUGUGGUAUUUUUCUUUUUCUGGCUGAUUUCUCUAAGAUGAAGUCCUCCAGUAACUCCAUUUUGAUGCACUUGAUAAAAUUUCAUUAUGUUUAAGUCCUGAAAUACAUUUCAUUGUAGAUCUAUACCAUGUUUUCCUUAUGCAUUCAUCUGAUGAUAGAAAUCUUUGUUUAAUCUUUAUAAAUAAAUCCAUGUUUAUUCCUUGUGAUUGCUGUGAACCAUAUUGCAAUCCACAUGGUGGUGGAGGUAUCUCUUUGAUAGAAUAAUGUUCAUUUCUUUUGGGUGUAGACCCAGUGGUGGGAUUGCUGAAGCAUAUGGCUGGUUUGUUUCUGUUUUUUAAAGAUCUGUUUAUUAGAGAGGCAGAGUUACAGACAGAGGGAGAGACAGAUAGAAAGGUCCUUCAUCAGCUGGUUCACACCUGAAAUGGCUGUAGUGGCCCAAGCUGCGCCAGGCCAAACUUGGGAGCCAGGAGUCCCUACCCAUGUACCCACGGUUCUGCAUGGGCAUGCAGAUGUCCAAGCUCUUGGACCAUCCUCCACUCCUUUAUGCAGGCCAUCAGCAGGGAGCUGAAUUGGAAGUGGGGCAGUUGAGACUUGAACCGAUGAAUAUAUGGGGUGCUUGUGCUGCAGGUGAAGGUUUAGGCUGCUAUCCACAGUGCCAGCCCCUCCUUUCCUUUUCUGUAGUGUCUUCUUCCAGUGUAAACUGAAAUAGUAAAGCUUUAUAUUUAUACGUGCCAUCAACACUUAGGCAAAGCAAAGUAUGGGCUGGGGAUA